UCAGAUCAUAUUACGUAAGCUGAAUUCCACUGAAAACCUGGACGCAUUCCUGUAGCUCACAAUCGUUUUUUAAACUCAAGAUAAAUUAGUUGGGAAAAGAAGGAAAAUGAUUUACUGGCCAAAGAAAAUAAUUAACAUUCUCUGGAUUGAGAAAACUUCCUUUCAUGGUUUUGCCCUUUGCUUCUUGUCCUGUCAGUGUCCUGUCACCACAGAGAGAGUCUGGUUUAUUUUCUUUUGCUCCCCCUGACCACCACCAGAGAUGACAUGAAUUAUCCUUCUGACACUGGAUCUGAUGUUGAUGCAAGAAGCCUGGACUGGGAGAACAGAAGGUAUUAUCUCCUUUCCCAGCUCCAGAUAAUGCCCAAGCAAAAAAUGCCAGCAAGUUCAGCUGCAGAAGCACUAGCACUGCCAAUGCACUAGAAAUGGGAUUGUGAUGUUGAGCUCUGACAUGGAUAACAUGGAGUCCUUCUCCUCAUGGAAGUGAAGCUGAAGACAGAGUGUUUCUAAUGCAGCUCCAGCACAGAAACCUCCCAUUGAACACAUCUCUUGGGCUGGAGGAUAAGGAUGAGGUGGGGAUAACAUAGAGAAAGUAAAAGAAUCACAAUACAAAACGCUUCUAUUUGCCUACAAGAAGAUCCUGAGUGUGUUCACGUUUGCUAUCAGCUUCCUAAAGAAAAGAGGAAGAGCUUUAAAUCAAGCAGAUGGUUCCUCUGUGGUGGUAUUACACAUCUGCCCUUCUAUCCUUCCUGAGGAAAAUGAUGACAGACCUCUGAAAAUGACACAGUCCAGCAAUUUGGAUGCCCACAGUCUUCCAGAAGACAACACCAGUAGCAGCAGUUCAAAAUGAUGUCUCAAAUUGCCUUCAUCCAUAUGAACAGCUGAUUCUUCAGUCCUUAUCCAGUGAGGAAAGUUGUGUUUUCAGACAAAAAAAGAUGAUUCACAAGGAGAUCACAGAGUUGUGGGGGUUGGAAGGGACCUCUGAAGAUCAUCAAGCUCAACUCCCCUGCAAAGCUGGCCCCCUACAGCAGGCUGCACAGGUGAAUCCAUGCUGAAAAUGAACUUCAGAAGUUCCUGAUUAACUUCUUCUCUUCCAAUUGCUUGGAGAUGACAUCUAGAACAAGCUGUUCCAUCACCUUUCAAGGGACAGAGGUGAG